rnacentral:rRNA from 1 species
GACGAACGCUGGCGGCGUGCCUAAUACAUGCAAGUCGAACGCAGUGGGGACGGGUGAGUAACACGUGGGUAACCUCCCAUCAGAGGGGAGAACAGUUGGAAACAGGUGCUAAACCGAUAUUGUAGGAUGGACCAGCGGUGCAUUAGCUAGUUGGGGGGGUAACGGCUUACCAAGGCCACGAUGCAUAGCCGACCGGAGAGGGUGAUCGGCCACACGGGGACUGAGACACGGCCCAGACUCCGACGGGAGGCAGCAGUAGGGAAGCUUCGGCAAUGGACGAAAGUCUGACCGAGCAACGCCGCGUGAGUGAAGAAGGUUUUCGGAUCGUAAAACUCUGGUGUUAGAGAAGCGGUAUCUAACCAGAAAGCCACGGCUAACUACGGGCCAGCAGCCGCGGUAAUUC